ensembl:lncRNA
UUUGUUUAUUCACUUGGCUGUAUGGUCUACAAACUCUUUUUUUCCCCCUUUGAAACCCAACUCCUUUUUAUUCAGUUUGAUUUGUUAUGAAUAUCAUAACGAUCCUCGGAUGAACCAAAAGGACGAGGAAGCCAGGUACAUCCUGGGGAAAUGGAAGGAGAAAUGGUACACCUCUCCCACUGGUUGAGUUCCUACCCGACGACAUGUAUCAACCAAUGGUUUCCCGCCACAUCAUCGACUGUGCAGUCAGGCAUCGGAUGGCUAUAUAUCAUGAUGUGGUUAGCGAGUACCAGUCAAAAGUUUGGACACACCUACUCAUUCAAGGGUUGUUUUUUUUAAAUGGUUUUCUACAUUGAAGAAUAAUAGUGAAGACAUCAACUGUGAAAUAACACACAUGGAAUCAUGUUGUAACCUAAGAAGUAUUUAACAAAUCAACAUAUAUUUUAGAUUCUUCAAAGUAGUCACCCUUUGCCUUGAUGACAGCUUUGCACACUCUUGACAUUUUGAGCAAAAUGAUUAAUCAUAUCACUUUAGCAAAUCAUUUUUAAUGGAUUGAUGACCUCAUAUUUGAGCAUGUAUGUCCUCAUUCGGAAAAUCCUCAUAUCAAAAAUAUCUCAUUGGUGUUAAUAUCAUGUGUUACUACUACUACUACUGGUGGGACAAUUAUCAUAAUGUUAAAAAACUAGAGUUCAAUGGCUUAGACAGUUUGGUGAUUUGAGAUAUUUUGGAUACAGAAAGUCUCCAAGGUUGUCCUCCACUUCAAGCCUGGAUCUGUACUUGGUCUGUAUCAACACGGACAAAAACAUUAGAAGCCAAGCUCACACAGGUAGGCUGAUUCGAAUGGCAGGAGAGCUCUGAUUUGACUAUAUCUUGUGAGAGCUGCAUAGUCUGUGUCAGCUUUCAACCAGAACUCGCUGUCUUUGCAACUGAAGUUCACAGGUCAGCUGAUCCUGGAUUUCCAUGUGGAGAUGAGAGAUGUCGAUGUCCACCAGAAAGGGGUGAGUGAUCUGAAUCCUGGGAGCUGUUCUCUGGGAAGUAUUUUUCCAGACUGGACUUCAAGGUUGUCAAGUAAUCACUCAUUAUCGCCAAUGGCAUCGUUCACUAGCGGCAGGGUAGCCUAGUGGUUAGAAGUGUAGGGACGGCAGGGUAGCCUAGUGGUUAGAGUGUUGGACUAGUAACCGAAAGGUUGCAAGUUCAAAUCCCCGAGCCGACAAGGUACAAAUCUGUCGUUCUGCCCCUGAACAGGCAGUUAACCCACUGUUCCUAGGCCGUCAUUGAAAAUAAGAAUUUGUUCUUGCCUAGUUAAAUAAAGGUAAAAUAAAUUUAAAAAAAUAAACUAGCGAGAAUGGUAUUGUGCCCAUUCUCAAGUGAUGUUUGCCACUUUCAAGAAAGGUAGAGCUAUCUUUAUGGAACAUUUCAAAAAACCCUUGGCUUCUGACAAUUGCAGAGACAGAUUCAGGGAGUUCAGCUUUUCAAAGAUAUCUGAUAUCAGCUCUUCUUCUUUUACCCAGAGUGGCAAGUGCUUCCCGGUGGAUUAUGUAGUGAUCCCCACUGCACAUAACGAGUCGUCGUUGUUGUUGUUGCUUUUAAUCCUCCCCGCGAACCCAGUAAUAGCGGGGGUUCCAUCUGUGUCGAUAACACCGCAGGCAUCCCACUUCAAAUCAUUCUCAAGGAAAAAAAUCAUUCAGGAUUUAAAAAUAACUCCAUGCCCAGUUGCCCUCCCUUUUUGAUCGAUUUACACAACAAAACACUUUCCUGAAUUGCGUUGAGCCUCACAACAGCAAAAAUAAAUAAAAAAUAGGCCUCCUUCACCACAUCUGUUGCCUCAUCCAACUGUAUGCCAAAC